rnacentral:rRNA from 1 species
AUUGAACGCUGGCGGCAUGCCUUACACAUGCAAGUCGAACGGCAGCACGGGGGCAACCCUGGUGGGCGAGUGGCGAACGGGUGAGUAAUGCAUCGGAACGUGCCCAGUAGUGGGGGAUAACCAGUCGAAAGAUUGGCUAAUACCGCAUACGACCUACGGGUGAAAGCGGGGGAUCGCAAGACCUCGCGCUAUCGGAGCGGCCGAUAUCAGAUUAGGUAGUUGGUGGGGUAAAGGCCUACCAAGCCUACGAUCUGUAGCUGGUCUGAGAGGACGACCAGCCACACUGGGACUGAGACACGGCCCAGACUCCUACGGGUGGCUG